GUGGGUGUGACUCAACUGAUAGAGUGCCUGCCUGGGAUGUAGGAAGCCCUGAGUUUCAUCUCAGCACUACA
rnacentral:tRNA from 1 species